CAGCAGCCACGGGAAUACGGAGGGGGCUAGCGUUGUUCGGAAUUACUGGGCGUAAAGCGCACGUAGGCGGCUUUUUAAGUCAGAGGUGAAAGCCCGGGGCUCAACUCCGGAACUGCCUUUGAGACUGUCGAUCUGGAGUAUGGAAGAGGUGAGUGGAAUUCCGAGUGUAGAGGUGAAAUUCGUAGAUAUUCGGAGGAACACCAGUGGCGAAGGCGGCUCACUGGUCCAUUACCGACGCUGAGGUGCGAAAGCGUGGGGAGCAAACAGGAUUAGAUACCCCCGUAGUCCCUGUCUCUUAUAC
rnacentral:rRNA from 1 species